rnacentral:rRNA from 1 species
UAGGGAAUCUUCGGCAAUGGGGGGAACCCUGACCGAGCAACGCCGCGUGAGUGAAGAAGGUUUUCGGAUCGUAAAGCUCUGUUGUUAAGGAAGAACGAGUGUGAGAAUGGAAAGUUCAUACUGUGACGGUACUUAACCAGAAAGGGACGGCUAACUACGUGCCAGCAGCCGCGGUAAUACGUAGGUCCCGAGCGUUGUCCGGAUUUAUUGGGCGUAAAGCGAGCGCAGGCGGUUAGAUAAGUCUGAAGUUAAAGGCAGUGGCUCAACCAUUGUAGGCUUUGGAAACGGUUUAACUUGAGUGCAGAAGGUGAGAGUGGAAUUCCAUGUGUAGCGGUGAGAUGCGUAGAUAUAUGGAGGAACACCGGUGGCGGAAGCGGCUCUCUGGUCUGUAACUGGCGCUGAGGCUCGAAAGCGUGGGGAGCGAACAGG